rnacentral:sRNA from 1 species
GCUGGGCGUGGUGGUGCAUGCCUGUAGUCCUAGCUACUUGGGAGGCUGAGGCUGGAGAAUCGCUUGAACCCGGGAGGCAGAGGUUGCAGUGAGCUGCGAUUGCACGGCUGCACUCCAGCCUGGGUGACAGAGCGAGAUUCUGUCUCAA